AUCCCUGGUCGCCCAACAACAUCCGUUACUGAAGGAAACAUUGAAUUGGCGAAGCAAAUCGUGUUGCAAAAUCGUUCUGUACCGAUUAGAGAGAUUGCUGUGUUAUUGGGCCAUAAAAAGGCAUCUGAAUUAAUGCUUAAAUUGUAUGUUAUAUUAAACUAGUAGCUAAGAACAUACACACUUAGAACUUUUCCAAAAUUCUCGGUUUGUUAUUUCCGAUUUCUCGGCAAUUUAAAAUGUUUUGUCGGUUUUGUAAAUUACCGUGUUUACCGAAAUCAGCAAAUUGAUAAUAUCAACUUACCGAAAUCUCGGUAAACAACUUUUAGACUACUGAAAUUCAGUGAUUCAUCAAAAUAGCCAUUUUUCUCCAGUGCGAAACUGAGCGAUGUGAAUAAGUGCAUGUACUCAUAUGUGGAAUCAAUAGCAACUAAAAGUUGAGUCCGAAUAUAGCGGUAUGUUUCGUGAUAUUAAGAACAAAUUUGUUCAAUGUUUGGCGAUUAUUCGUGACACGAAAUCCUCCAGAGACACACACGGGAGCUAGAUCCUCGCAACGCAAAUCUACUACAUGAAAUUGAUUGGACUCCGCCGGAAUCUGAUUUUCUACGAAAAUACGAAUAUUUGAACGACGUUCUAGCAUUGAUGUAAAUGUUAAGACGUAUUAAACACAACGUAAUGUCACACGACUUGAAAGUCAAUAAUGUGAUGAGAAAACAGUGUGACCCAAAACGAUGUGAUUGCAAACGACGUCGAUUCAUACUUAUUUAUUAGAAUUUUCCGUUAUUUUUCUCUCACCUGAUGUAAAAAAAAUCACGAUUCUAACUGUUAUAUCGUUAAACAAUGGUCUGUCAUCACUACCAGAAAAUGUGAAGAAAAUUUUCGAAAACUAAGUUUUUACUUCCACAUUUACAGUAAUAAAACUAUUUUAAUUGCACCAUCAACCCAAGGAUAUGUAAGCUAAAAAUCAAAGGGCGUUUCUUCAAUAAUAAUAUCAUCAACGUGCACUGCCACACGACGGGAGAUCCGAAGACUAUAAGUAAGCGUUCUUUGCGAAGCUGGAGAAGUUCUAUGGCGGCUGUUCCCAACAGGCGUCAUCUGUGGUAUGAACGCUCAGUCAAAAUGGUAAGAAAUACGUUAAACGGGAGGAGCUAUUUUUAUAUUAAAUAAAUAAAUAAAU